rnacentral:sRNA from 2 species
CAUGACCCAUCGCUGAGUUCCGUAUUGGAAGCGGAGGACCCAAGGUUUUUGGGGUGAAUCGCAGCGCUUGGCUGCGUAGGGGCUCCUACACCCGAACCCGUCAGCUAACUCCGUAAGCGUUGUAGGAAGGUCAG